AUCGCCAUCAACAUUAAGACUCAUUGCAAUUGUUUCUGAGUUAAGUGAACACCUUCUGCGCCCUUAGGAGUUUAAUAUGAAUUCAUUAUGGUUUGAAAAUGACUCCAGUAACAUAUUACGCGAACUCACGAAGUUCACAUUCAUAUCAUGCACAAGUCGCUCGCCACAAUCUGUAUUGAAUAGUCGUGGAAGUAUUAAUGGUCAUGAUAAUGAUGAUGCUGGUUUAUACACGAACUUUGUGGAGAAGACUGCAGACAGUAGGCGGGAGGAAUUUGUACUUCAGUUCAAUUGCUUUUUCCUUUGAUUCAUAAGAACCGUUGGGCUGUUUUUCCUAUAGUUUAGUUGCAGGUUGGAUGAAUGAUAACAUGUUUCUUCAUUGUUCACUUUCACCAAAAACCGUAUUCACCUUUCUCAAAGAAACGAACGAGACUAAAAGAGAGAGAGAAAAGACAACAGGAUAUUAGAAGAGCAAUAAAGGAUAUUGAUGGAACAACGAGUGGGGAGUGGGUACCUCCUCGAAUCUGAAAAUAUCAGUGUUAUGAAUUAAAUUAUGGAAGUGUAAUUUCCUUGCAUUUAUUUUGCAUGGUUUUUGGUGUGAAACUGAUGUUGUACUUUGGGAAACAGUAAAUCUAGUUUGUGACUGUGGCAAUCCUGGAGCAGUGGAGGGUAAGUCACUGAUGAGGUCCCAAAGUGCGACGAAAGGACUCUGAUAAGGCAGCAGAUUUACUUAUCAAACGAUUGACCAAGCCAUUUGUUUUAUUACCAGCACAUAAUUUAUGCACCUCACCCCCUCAUACAAAAGGUAAAUGGAAGAUUCUGCAUAAUCUGAACUUAGAACAUAGAAAUAUGAAAUAUGAUACAGAGAAUUAACCAAGUUAAGAAGGGACUCGUAGCAGGUCACUCAGCCCGUCAGAAGUAGCAGUCAAAUUAUACCCAACCGUUUUUAAAAAGGGACACAGAAUAAUGAACUUUUUUGGAGAAUUUCAAGAAAACAGAAUA